CAACCCGAUGCAAACUGCGAAUACCGGAGAAUGUUAUCACGGGAGACACACGGCGGGUGCUAACGUCCGUCGUGAAGAGGGAAACAACCCAGACCGCCAGCUAAGGUCCCAAAGUCAUGGUUAAGUGGGAAACGAUGUGGGAAGGCCCAGACAGCCAGGAUGUUGGCUUAGAAGCAGCCAUCAUUUAAAGAAAGCGUAAUAGCUCACUGGUCGAGUCGGCCUGCGCGGAAGAUGUAACGGGGCUAAACCAUGCACCGAAGCUGCGGCAGCGACGCUUAUGCGUUGUUGGGUAGGGGAGCGUUCUGUAAGCCUGUGAAGGUGUGCUGUGAGGCAUGCUGGAGGUAUCAGAAGUGCGAAUGCUGACAUAAGUAACGAUAAAGCGGGUGAAAAGCCCGCUCGCCGGAAGACCAAGGGUUCCUGUCCAACGUUAAUCGGGGCAGGGUGAGUCGACCCCUAAGGCGAGGCCGAAAGGCGUAGUCGAUGGGAAACAGGUUAAUAUUCCUGUACUUGGUGUUACUGCGAAGGGGGGACGGAGAAGGCUAUGUUGGCCGGGCGACGGUUGUCCCGGUUUAAGCGUGUAGGCUGGUUUUCCAGGCAAAUCCGGAAAAUCAAGGCUGAGGCGUGAUGACGAGGCACUACGGUGCUGAAGCAACAAAUGCCCUGCUUCCAGGAAAAGCCUCUAAGCAUCAGGUAACAUCAAAUCGUACCCCAAACCGACACAGGUGGUCAGGUAGAGAAUACCAAGGCGCUUGAGAGAACUCGGGUGAAGGAACUAGGCAAAAUGGUGCCGUAACUUCGGGAGAAGGCACGCUGAUAUGUAGGUGAAGUCCCUCGCGGAUGGAGCUGAAAUCAGUCGAAGAUACCAGCUGGCUGCAACUGUUUAUUAAAAACACAGCACUGUGCAAACACGAAAGUGGACGUAUACGGUGUGACGCCUGCCCGGUGCCGGAAGGUUAAUUGAUGGGGUCAGCGCAAGCGAAGCUCUUGAUCGAAGCCCCGGUAAACGGCGGCCGUAACUAUAACGGUCCUAAGGUAGCGAAAUUCCUUGUCGGGUAAGUUCCGACCUGCACGAAUGGCGUAAUGAUGGCCAGGCUGUCUCCACCCGAGACUCAGUGAAAUUGAACUCGCUGUGAAGAUGCAGUGUACCCGCGGCAAGACGGAAAGACCCCGUGAACCUUUACUAUAGCUUGACACUGAACAUUGAGCCUUGAUGUGUAGGAUAGGUGGGAGGCUUAGAAGUGUGGACGCCAGUCUGCAUGGAGCCGACCUUGAAAUACCACCCUUUAAUGUUUGAUGUUCUAACG
rnacentral:rRNA from 1 species